GCGGAGGAAAAGAAACUAACAAGGAUUCCCCUAGUAGCGGCGAGCGAAGCGGGAAGAGCUCAAAUUUAUAAUCUGGCACCUUCGGUGUCCGAGUUGUAAUCUCUAGAAAUGUUUUCCGCGCUGGACCGCACACAAGUCUGUUGGAAUACAGCGGCAUAGUGGUGAGACCCCCGUAUAUGGUGCGGAUGCCCAGCGCUUUGUGAUACAUUUUCGAAGAGUCGAGUUGUUUGGGAAUGCAGCUCAAAUUGGGUGGUAAAUUCCAUCUAAAGCUAAAUAUUGGCGAGAGACCGAUAGCGAACAAGUACCGUGAGGGAAAGAUGAAAGGCACUUUGGAAAGAGAGUUAACAGUACGUGAAAUUGUUGGAAGGGAAACGCUUGAAGUCAGACUUGCUGGCCGAGCAAUCGGUUUGCAGGCCACCAUCAGUUUUCCGGGAUGGAUAAUGGUAGAGAGAAGGUAGCAGUUUCGGGUGUUUUAGCUCUCUAUUCGGAACAUAUUUUGGGGGAGUGAGAAACGCAGUGCCUUUACGGGGGGGGUCUCCCCCUCCUCACACUGGGGAGGCGUUGUGGUAUCGUUAAACGACCC
rnacentral:rRNA from 1 species